rnacentral:tRNA from 1 species
GGAUGCUGCACGAUGUGGGGCGCAGCAUCCCCGGUGCGCAGGCGACCGUUACUUCCAACCCAAGGUGGUUACGCGGGUUCGAAUCCCGCCGCCGUCCAC